rnacentral:rRNA from 1 species
AUGGGUACCUACCUUCGGGUUCGGGAUAGCCAUCAGAGAUGGUGGGUAAUACCGGAUGACGUCGUGAGACCAAAGAUUUAUCGCCCGGAGAGGGGCCCAUGUGAUAUUAGCUAGUUGGUGAGGUAACGGCUCACCAAGGCGAAGAUGUCUAGCGGGUGUGAGAGCACGACCCGCGCCACUCGCACUGAGACACUGGCGAGACACCUACGGGUGGCUGCAGUCGAGGAUCUUCGGCAAUGGGCGCAAGCCUGACCGAGCGACGCCGCGUGAGCGAUGAAGGCCUUCGGGUUGUAAAGCUCUUUAGUGGGGGAGAAAAGCCCGCAAGGGUGUGAUCUAUCCCAAAAAUAAGCACGGGCUAAGUUCGUGCCAGCAGCCGCGGUAAGACGAACCGUGCGAACGUUGUUCGGAAUCACUGGGCUUAAAGGGAGCGUAGGCGGGCUAUCAAGUCUGGGGUGAAAUGCCACGGCUCAACCGUGGAACGGCCUCAGAUACUGACGGCCUC